GGCCAUAUCACGUUGAAGCACCAGUUCCCGUACGAUCACCGAAGUAAAGCAACGUCAAGCUUGGUCAGUACCUAGUGGGUGACCGCUUGGAAAUACCAGGUGUUGU
rnacentral:rRNA from 1 species